rnacentral:tRNA from 1 species
AGGCUCAUAACUCAGCUGGUAGAGUGGUUGCCUUACAAGCAAUAAGUCAUCGGUUCGAGUCCGAUUGAGCCUAC